AUACGUAGGGUGCAAGCGUUAAUCGGAAUUACUGGGCGUAAAGCGUGCGCAGGCGGUUUUGUAAGACAGAGGUGAAAUCCCCCGGCUCAACCUGGGAACUGCCUUUGUGACUGCAAGGCUAGAGUACGGCAGAGGGGGGUGGAAUUCCGCGUGUAGCAGUGAAAUGCGUAGAUAUGCGGAGGAACAACGAUGGCGAAGGCAAUCCCCUGGGCCUGUACUGACGCUCAUGCACGAAAGCGUGGGGAGCAAACAGGAUUAGAUACCCUGGUAGUCCACGCCCUAAACGAUGUCAACUGGUUGUUGGGUCUUCAUUGACUCAGUAACGAAGCUAACGCGUGAAGUUGACCGCCUGGGGAGUACGGCCGCAAGGUUGAAACUCAAAUGAAUUGACGGG
rnacentral:rRNA from 1 species